rnacentral:misc_RNA from 1 species
UCAAACUUGGUCAUUUAGAGGAAGUAAAAGUCGUAACAAGGUUUCCGUAGGUGAACCUGCGGAAGGAUCAUUACUGAAUAGGGUGUGGCUGGAGUUGUUGCUGGCAUCCUUGUAUGCAUGUGCACGCCCCAGUCACUCCGUCAUUCACCCCUCUCCACCUGUGCAUCCUCUUGUAGGCCAGAUUGCCAUUUUUGCGGUGUUCUCCUCUGAGCGCCAUUUUUGGGACUUGCUGUUGCGGCUCCUCUUGUAUGUGGCCCAUCUGGUCUAUGCACCUUUUUACCAAACCCUAUUAUGUUUCGCAUGUAUGUCACAUUGGCUUUUUUUAAAGCAUGAUGUAUGCACAACUUUCAACAACGGAUCUCUUGGCUCUCGCAUCGAUGAAGAACGCAGC